AUCAGCCUUUCGGGUGUGAUUAUGUGGAGCGUGAGGAGUUAAACGCCUUCAUGCCUGCAUAUUCGUGCACUUUGGGUGUACUUGCCCGUGUGGUUGGUUAACAUCAAUUUUGGUUAUCAUAAAAUGACUGGAGGAAUGUAGCUUCGAUCUCGUAUUGAAGUGUUAUAGCCUUCGGUAGAUGUGAUGAUCGAGAUUGAGGAUUGCAACGGAUACCCUUCGGGGCUACCUGUCUGGUCUCUGAUCGUUGCUCUGGUGCCGAAAGCUUGCUUACGGUUAUCAAAGUCGAUGGUCAAUAGGUUAGAACGGGUUAAAUUCGUUAAGGAUGUUGACGUAAUGGCUUU
rnacentral:rRNA from 1 species